UUUAAUUUUUUUGUAUAUAUACAAAUUAAAAAAAAUUAAAGAAAUUAAAAAUCGUAGAAAGUUGUGGAACCGAGUGCCUAUGAUCGUGUCUAUAAAAAUCAGAAUGUCAAACUUUACUCAUAUUUGACAAUGCAGUGCUUCAGUGGUUAUGGCAAAAAGAAAGAAAAAACAGAACCAAAAUAUCUUUAAUACAGAUAACAUCAGAUAUUUUAGAAGAUCAACUUGGCAAGAUGUACUUGGUAAGAAGAAUGUAAGACACAUAUUAGAUAUUGGCAUUGUGCUUACAAGCAUGCUAGGAAUGAGAUAUUGAGGCAGGCACAGAAUCAAUUAUACAAAAAUACAGUCUGGAUGAAAAGUUUGUUUCCAGCACAGGCCUGGGAAGACAUUAAAGGGUGUGCAAGCAUGGGAGUUGUUGUUGAAAAACAGAAAGUAGGAGGGUUGCUAUAGAAAUGUAUCCUGUUUCCAUGACGUUAUCCAGGUGAACGGUUGUCACUGGACUUGCUGAAACAAUUUAAUAUGACAGCUUCUUGUGGGGCUGCCUAUGUCAACUCAUAUGAGGAAACAUAUAAUUAUAUGCCAUAACGUCCGGGAUGUGUCCCGGACAUGAUUCUGUCCCGAGCCUGUAAGGAACGAUGACAAACUACAUGAUGUCUCCACGGCCACACAGUUAAACCUUUGCAAUGGGAAAUGUUUCAUAAAGUUGGGGUAGAGAAUGUUAACUGGUACUCUUCAACAAGUGGGAAAGGACUAAAUUUACAACAUACUUUGUUGAAAAAAACACAGAAAAAAACAAAACUGUGUUGAAGCAGACGCUGUCCAAACAGGAAGUUGAAUUAUGGGAUAUGACAAGAGAUGGAGAGCAGACGUGUGCCAUGGAGACAGAUGUCUACAGAUGCUGAAGAACUUAUGGCAGGAGAAAUAUGAUGUCUUCAUAAGACAUAUAUUAUUUUUAUAGGGUAAAUCAUAAUGUCUUUGAAGAAACAGCAGAAGAGAAGAUAGAUGUUACAAAAGAAGCCAAAGAUUAUAAAAAGAGCACAAAGAAUGUUGAAAACCUAAAGUUACGGAAUGUGAAGCAAAGUAUUUAGCAAUUAAAGAAAAGGAACCUACAAAAAAGAAAAGAAAUAAUGAUUUGGAAACAAAAUGUUGGAUGUCAUCAUGACAUUAAAGACUAUACUGGUUUUGGUAGAACAUAAUUUUCAACCUAGGAAAAUGGUGGGUAAAAUGAAAAUAUUGGGAGGUUCCUGGUCAAACUAAUUGUCACAUCUAUAUGAGGCUAGCGUAAGGUGUAUGCACAUGUCAACAGCCUAGCAAAUGUUGUAUUCGACUGCAUUUACAGAAGAUUUUAUGACUGUCCCGUGUGAAGAUGUUGAAAGUGGGGGUGUUUUUGUUGAGUUUUAAUUACGGUAACAUCUUGUAUGACAUUGUAGUAUUCUUCAUGUCAUCUGUCUGAGGGUUUCAUAUAUAAAACUAUUCUUGGCACAUAAACAUUAUAGCUAAUAUUUAAUGUAUUAUAUAAAGUCUUAAGUCUUCUUACUGAAUAUAUAAAAGCACUUAUCACUUAAGCACAAUGGUGACACUUUUACUAUUAGUUAUAAAGAUAUGACCCUUUAUAAAUGGUUGUUUGUUAGUAUAACCUGAGCCACUAGGUGAGGGUUAUAUUGUAAACAAACAUUUAUAUACAGUCAUAUAACCAGUUGAGAAUAACUUAUAGCAAAAUUUAUAAUACUGAAAACAUCUUUUUUUUUAAAGAAAAAAAUGAAGAUUUCUUUAUAAAUUGACAGUGGCCGUGUAUAAAAUCCUAUAUUUAUGUUGUAAUUAUCCAAUGAAAAGCACCAUAACAAAUGUGCAGUAUUAUACGCAACUCUAGCUUAAUAUUAAGAAAGGUAAAUUAGGAAACGUACUUUAAUCAAUUAUAAUACAGCAUGUUUGAAACAUCAAUUUUCUUUCAUCAAUGAUGUUGAUGACAUUUAUAUUAUCUAUGUAAAAACGCUGAUGCAAAUUUAUUGGUUAAUUAGAGACAACAAUGGUGCUGUGUUGUACAUUCGUUAUAAGGACUUUUGACAGGUUAUAUGACCAUAUAUAUACAAUUGUUUUAAUCGGAACACCUUGAUGAUUGUUCAUACUCAUCUCAGAGUUAAAAUGGAUUGCAAGCAGUUCUACUACAAUGACUUCAGAUGUUUACGAAACAGGAGGGUGUAAUCAUUGUAUAAUGAGUAAUAAAACUAUUUAUUAACAUCCAAUGGAAAAUAGAGUCAAUUUCAGUAUAGUUAUGAUUAAAAAAUUUGCCUGACAAUCCAAAUUAAUUUCUGUUGUGUUUCAGGUCCUUAUCUAAAGUUUGAUGAAAUUGGUCGAAAAUAUCUUUCAAGUUAGUAAAAUUAGCAUUAGCAGUUGUCAUUCAGCAACCAAUUCCCCUGCAGAUAAGUUGCAGUUGACUGUUGCUUGUAAUACAACCCUAACAGUGAUUCUGAUUAUAAUAAACAAACUUACAAACAUUUAUAGGAGUCAUAUAACUGUUGCAAGUAUCUUAAAUGGUUAUUUAUGAUAUAAAUAAGCUUAAAACUAAAUAUAUAAACAAACUUCUUAAUAAAUAUAUGAACAUGCUUGAAAGGAAAAACAGAAAAAUAGUUAAUUUGUUCAUUUCUUUUUUUACUUGUAAAAGUAUAUUUCAGGUGUAUUGUAAUUUAUUACUUGCACUUACAAGAAUUUGUGAUUAUUGAAAUGCUCACUGGUAUUUGAACUUUUUACCCUGCAAUAUCUAAACAUAUUGUACUCUAAAUUGUAAUCUGUACUGUAUUUUGUGAAGUUACUUUUUAGAUAUUAUUAUUAUUACUUUUGUAUUAAUCUCAUUACAAAGAUUAUUUGCUAAAAACGCUAAGAGAAUAUUUUAUUUGAUAUGUUUAAAAGUUUAAAUUGUUGAAAGUUUUUUGACUUUGCAUAAUGACUAGCGUAACAUUGAAUUUUAAUUGUAUUUUGAUAGGAUAUGGAUGUUUAAAACCUGACUUUGAAUAAAUCUACAUCUGUUGUUUUUGUUCUAAUCUGGUAUUUCUGCAUUUUGUUUUGCUUUUUACAAAAACUGUAAUUGAUCAAAUAAUAAUCAAAAAGUCUGCUCCCUUGACAACAGUAUUUGUGUCACGUAAGAAAGUUCCACUAAAUCACACAAGCCAUCAAGGUUGUAUACUGGUGGCAAAGGCUGUAUACUGGUGGCAAAGGCUAUAUACUGGUGGCAAAGGCUAUAAAAUGGUGGCAAAGACUGUAAAAUAUUUGUAAAGGCUUUAUGCUGGUGGCAAAGGCUAUACACUGGUGGCAAAGGCUGUAUACUGGUGGCAAAGACUGUAAAAUAGUGGUAAAGGCUUUAUACUUGUGG